UGCCAAGGAGCAUUACAAAAUCAAUUGCCGGUGGACUAUUUCCUCCUUCGACACCAUAAACACUGCUCCGAUUUUGAAGGCAUGUGUUGCUACAACAUAACUGAUGAAUCAACCAGCAUAGAGGAUGACAUUCAACAUCUUCAGGACUUAAUGCAUCAAAUGAAACAAUCUACUGGUGGUGCCUGGCUAGCUGAGUGGUUUAAUUCCCUGACAGGAUGGGUGGGACACCUGAUUCAAAGCAUUAUGAUAUGUUUAUUCCUUUUUCUAUAUGUGUUUAUUACAUGCUUCUGUAAAUUACCCUGCCCUACACCCCGCAAGCCCAAAUGGACACCUCCAGCUUUGCCAGCCCCAGCAGAAGUGGUCCCUUGAGCAAGGGGGUGGAAUGUGGGAUAAUAACCGAAGAUUGGCAAGGAGGAUUGUAAACAUGCUCAAGUGACUUGCAGCUGGGGUCUAGAAAAAUGCAUAUAUCAUUGUAAUUGUUGUUUAUCCUUGUGUGUUUGACAAGUAGAACAUCUGUGUUUAGAUAACAUAGGCCUGUGAUAGACUUAGAGGCACCCUGCUGAACAUGCUUGAGAUUUCUGCCCUGCUGUGGGAAAGGCCCAAAGCACAGUGGAAAACUACACCUAUGCGAAUCCCUAAGAAACAGGCGAAAACAGCAGGUUUGGUGAUUCUCUAGCAUGGACUGAGCUCUGCGGUGCCUGCAUUCCCACUUGUGUGCCUCUACCUGAGUGCUGCUUCGGGGAUCCCCCAGUUGGCAAGGCAACAAGAAUAAAUUUACUCUUUGCAUUU